GUGCCGCCUUUGAGUCCCCUAAGCCACAGGAGGGGUUAGGCCGCACCACCAUAGCAAUUGCUGGUACAUCACUGGGGCUUCCUGCCCAUUACAGGCGCCCUAAAAAACAAAAGAAAUGG